UCCUUACUACUUUAUCUGAGUUUUGCCCCUUCCUCAUGAUGGUUGUGUUCUUUCGGGUCAUUCGAAGCUUUGCUAGCAGGUUAGUUCUUAUGAUUUUUCUUGACCAUUUCUUUGCCUGUCAUUGCUUUCCUCUGUGUCCACUUACUCCUCCUCUUCGCAUUUCUUUUCUCUGCCUCCUUUGGGUUUAUCAUCGUCUAUGGAGAUGGGUAGAUCAGGAAAGGAGUAGGUGGUGCAGGAGCCCUCUGGUUCUCCUUCAAGGGGUGAUUUGGUAGGUCAAGUCCUUGAGCCCAGGGAUGAAAGCUUCACUCCUGAAAAGUAUCACUCGGCCCUAGGCUUAGAUGACCUUAACCUAAUUAGGACCUAGUUUGGCAUCUCUACUGAGUUUGAUUUAGAGCUCCCAGGCCUAUUUGGUAGGAUUUGCAAUCCCCCUAGGUCGGCUCACUC
rnacentral:lncRNA from 1 species